rnacentral:rRNA from 1 species
CCUACGGGUCGCAGCAGUGGGGAAUCUUCCGCAAUGGGCGAAAGCCUGACGGAGCAACGCCGCGUGAUCGAAUGAAGCCCUUCGGGUUGUAAAGCUCUGUUGCCGGGGACGAAUAAGCAAUGCGUAUAGCUUUGUGUAUGACGGUCCCUGUUUAGAACGCUCCGGCUAACUACGUGCCAGCAGCCGCGGUAAUACGUAGGGAGCAGACGUUGGCCGGAUUUGGUGGGUUUAAAGGGGGCGUAGGUGGUUUGUGAAGUCAGUUGUGAAAGUUUGCGGCUCAACCGUAAAAUUGCCGUUGAAACUGGCAGUCUUGAGUACAGUAGAGGAGGGCGGAAUUCGUGGUGUAGCGGUGAAAUGCUUAGAUAUCACGAAGAACUCCGAUUGCGAAGGCAGCUCACUGGACUGCAACUGACGCUGAUGCUCGAAAGUGUGGGUAUCAAACAGGAUUAGAUACCCCAGUAGUC